rnacentral:lncRNA from 1 species
CAUCAUUUCAAUAUGAGCAAAGAGAAAUGUGGAGUUGGAUAGGAUUAUAAAAAUGAAAGAAAUCAUCUUUUAUUAGACCACGUUGUGCUCGUGCCGCACUGUCGGAGGAGGAGGCUUUGAGUUGUCGGUGAUGGAACGUGAGCCCGUGCUGCAAGUAUGUCUCGCUAAACAAAUCUCAACUUUUGCUUUAAUCGGCCUGGAGUCGCUACUGCGAUUUCGGACCACUCAACCGAGUUGCAUACAAU